rnacentral:rRNA from 1 species
UACAGAGGUCUCGAGCGUUAGGCGGAAUCACUGGGCUUAAAGCGUGUGUAGGCGGAUCGUUAAGUGCCUUGUGAAAUCCCACGGCUCAACCGUGGAACUGCUUGGCAUACUGGCGGUCUUGAGCCAGCUAGGGGCUACCGGAACAAAUGGUGGAGCGGUGAAAUGCGUAGAUAUCAUUUGGAACGCCAAUGGUGAAAACAGGUAGCUGGGGCUGUGCUGACGCUGAGACACGAAAGCCAGGGGAGCAAACGGG